UCGAGAAUAAUUCACAAUGGGGGCAACCCUGAUGGUGCAACGCCGCGUGGAGGAUACGGUCUUCGGAUUGUAAACUCCUGUCAUCCGGGAGUUAGUACCGGAAGAGGAAGGGACGGCUAACUUCGUGCCAGCAGCCGCGGUAAUACGAAGGUUCCAAGCGUUGUUCGGAAUCACUGGGCGUAAAGGGAGCGUAGGCGGCGUGGUAAGUCAGAUGUGAAAUCCCGGGGCUCAACCCCGGAACUGCAUCCGAUACUGCCAUGCUAGAGGAUUGGAGAGGUAGCUGGAAUUCUUGGUGUAGCAGUGAAAUGCGUAGAGAUCAAGAGGAACACUCGUGGCGAAAGCGAGCUACUGGACAAUUCCUGACGCUGAGGCUCGAAGGCUAGGGUAGCGAAAGGGGUUAGAUACCCUUGUAGU
rnacentral:rRNA from 1 species